UAUAUUAUAGUUUAAUGAAAAUAUUAAAUUGCAAAUUUAAAGAUCUUUUAGUUUAAAAUUAAUAUAU
rnacentral:tRNA from 1 species